CUUCCAUCGGAGCUAGGUAGA
rnacentral:miRNA from 1 species